GCGGCGACGGCGCGCAGGACCCGCCCCCAGGUCGCGCGCCGCCGCCGCCUGAGCCCAACAUGGCGAUGCACAACAAGACGGCGCCGCCGCAGAUCCCAGACACCCGGCGGGAGCUGGCGGAGCUGGUGAAGCGGAAGCAGGAGCUGGCGGAAACACUUGCAAACCUGGAGAGACAGAUCUAUGCUUUUGAAGGAAGCUACCUGGAAGACACUCAGAUGUAUGGCAAUAUUAUCCGGGGCUGGGAUCGGUAUCUGACCAACCAAAAAAACUCCAAUAGCAAAAACGAUCGGAGGAACCGGAAAUUUAAGGAAGCAGAGCGGCUCUUCAGUAAAUCUUCAGUUACCUCAGCAGCUGCAGUAAGUGCAUUGGCAGGAGUUCAGGACCAGCUCAUCGAAAAGACAAAAGACGGGUUGGUGGCACAUGCCUGUAAUGUCAGCACUCAGCAGGUGGAGGCAGGAGGAUCAGAAGUUCAAGGGGAGCCAGGGAGCGGGACAGAAAGUGAUGCUUCUCCAGAUUUCCACAAUCAGGAGAACGAGCCUGCCCCUGAGGACCCAGAGGACCUGGACGGCUCUGUGCAGGGAGUGAAGCCCCAGAAGGCUGCCUCUUCUACCUCCUCAGGGAGUCACCACAGCAGCCACAAAAAACGGAAGAAUAAAAACCGGCACAGUUCUCUGCAGCAUGCUGCCUUCAGGUAUGUAUAUUAGGUUAGGCUGGGAAGUUUUUUUUAAAAACAGAAAAACGUGAUGGAGGAUUGAUCUGAAGUUAAACAAAAAGCCCCGAGCUGACUAUUAGAAGACGCAUUUGCAGAAGCUUCAGGCUGUGAAGCCCUGCUUCCCCUCUGACCUCACAGAGACAGUGUCCCUCACCUGACUGUGUGGCCAUCCGCCUCUGCCCUCCCAGACCCAGUGCCUGUGACUGAGUAAUUUGUCCUAACUAUAGUGACACGUCAUUUCUGCGGGUCCUUCACUGUUGUCAUUGUUAAGUAGCGGAACUUCGGGAAGACCCAUCUUUGGUCCUAGUCCCUAUGGGUGGCUACAUUUCUCCCUUCUUAGAAUGAAUAUUUCCCUUCUUAGAAUGAAUAUUUCCCCCCAAACUGGCUGGCACCAGCUCCAUCUGUGAAACCCCCCCCCACACACACACACAUCGAGACGUGCACAUCUCUGGUUUUGUUUUAUGCUGAAAGUAGGAUCCAAAUCCCAUUGCAGAUGGAGGCUGUAAAUAUCUACCAUUCUCUUUUUUUGUUUUGUGUUGUAUUGUUUUUCUAUUGUUGUUUUUAUCAUCUGAUUUUCUUUUGGGACAUUUUGUGAUGCCUUCUUACAGUUCAUAGCUUCCCAAUGACACACCUGGUCAUCUGUCUCCAGCUGUUGUCCUAUUAACUAAAGUGGCUUUCUGGAAGUAAAAUGGGCAGCUUGGCUCUUUGGCUUUUUGGUUUCCGCGGCGGGGAGGUAAAGCGUGUUUAUCGAAUGUCUGCCUGUCUGAAGCCUGUCAAAGGUGGAAGCUGUUUCAUGUUUGAUGAAACAGCUGAAAAAUAUACAUUUUAAAUCCAUCCUCUUAAUGGACAUUUCAUUCUUUUGCGGGAAAUAGAAUUUGCCAGGCUUCAACGUCUUGUGCUUUCCUGCUCAGCCCGAGGUUCUUUCCUGUGUUUUACUUCUCAUAUCAUGCUGGGUGGGCAUUUUCGUUUUCAGUCUUUUCUUUUUUUGUUGAUAGUCUCCUGGUCAGAUACUGCUCUAAAAGUCAUCAAUAGAAUGGGAAAGCUCAGAAUUAUGGAAAGACAGGUGCUGCCUCCCUGCAGUGGGCUCAGACGUGGCACAUGACCUCUCCUCUCUGCAGUGCAGUGUGGCCUUGGCUGCACAUUACAAUCGCCUGGGACACCCAACCCAGUGCUGUACUGGGACCCCACUCCAAGACUCUCGGUGUUGGGGUUCUCUCACAGAGUCUGGGGUACCUAUUAGGGACCAGCUUGAGGCCACUGCACUAGAGACUGAGCAGCAUGCUAUGAUCAGGCACGGGGUGGGGGGGCAGUGUUUUGUAAGAUUUGGGUCCUUGAAAGUCGCAGUCCUUUCUGAGACCUGGGUCUUUAUAGGAGACAUGGACCCAUUGUGGUCAUGCUGCUGGGCUGAGUGUGACUGGCAUCUUAUCAAAACUUCAUUCCAUGUGCAAAAGCCUUCACCCUCUCAAAUAAACUUUCAUUUUCCUGGA